AUUGAACGCUGGCGGCAGGCCUAACAAAUGAAAGUCGAACAAGUGGCGGACGUGUGAGUAAUGUAUGGGAAACUGCCUGAUGGACGGGGAUAAAUACUGGAAACGGAAGCUAAUACCGAAUACAAUCUGAUGUACCCAGAUGGGAUUAGCUAGUAGGUGGGGUAAAGGCUCACCUAGGCGACGAGCCAUAGCUGGUCUGAGAAGAUGACCAGCCCCACUGGAACUGAGACACUGGCCAGUCUCCUAGGUGAGCCAGCAGUGGGGAUGUUUGCACCAUGGGCGCAAGACUGAUGCAGCCAUGCCGCGUGUAUGAAGAAGGCCUUCGGGUUGUAAAUUACUUUCAGCGGGGAGGCGUUACCCGCAGAAGAAGCACCGGAUAACUCCGUGCCAGCAGCCGCGUAAUAC
rnacentral:rRNA from 1 species